ACGCUGGCGGCGUGCCUAAUACAUGCAAGUCGAACGAGAGCGACCGGUGCUUGCACUGGUCAAUCUAGUGGCGAACGGGUGAGUAACACGUGGGUAACCUGCCCAUCAGAGGGGGAUAACAUUCGGAAACGGAUGCUAAAACCGCAUAGGUCUUCGAACCGCAUGGUUUGAAGAGGAAAAGAGGCGCAAGCUUCUGCUGAUGGAUGGACCCGCGGUGCAUUAGCUAGUUGGUGAGGUAACGGCUCACCAAGGCCGUGAUGCAUAGCCGACCUGAAAGGGUGAUCGGCCACAUUGGGACUGAGACACGGCCCAAACUCCUACGGGAGGCAGCAGUAGGGAAUCUUCCGCAAUGGACGCAAGUCUGACGGAGCAACGCCGCGUGAGUGAAGAAGGUUUUCGGAUCGUAAAACUCUGUUGUUAGAGAAGAACAAGUGCUAGAGUAACUGUUAGCGCCUUGACGGUAUCUAACCAGAAAGCCACGGCUAACUACGUGCCAGCAGCCGCGGUAAUACGUAGGUGGCAAGCGUUGUCCGGAUUUAUUGGGCGUAAAGCGAGCGCAGGCGGUUCCUUAAGUCUGAUGUGAAAGCCCCCGGCUCAACCGGGGAGGGUCAUUGGAAACUGGGGAACUUGAGUGCAGAAGAGGAGAGUGGAAUUCCAUGUGUAGCGGUGAAAUGCGUAGAUAUAUGGAGGAACACCAGUGGCGAAGGCGACUCUCUGGUUUGUAACUGACGCUGAGGCUCGAAAGCGUGGGUAGCAAACAGGAUUAGAUACCCUGGUAGUCCACGCCGUAAACGAUGAGUGCUAAGUGUUGGAGGGUUUCCGCCCUUCAGUGCUGCAGUUAACGCAUUAAGCACUCCGCCUGGGGAGUACGACCGCAAGGUUGAAACUCAAAGGAAUUGACGGGGACCCGCACAAGCG
rnacentral:rRNA from 1 species